rnacentral:rRNA from 1 species
GUGGGGAAUCUUGCGCAAUGGGCGAAAGCCUGACGCAGCCAUGCCGCGUGAAUGAUGAAGGUCUUAGGAUUGUAAAAUUCUUUCACCGGGGACGAUAAUGACGGUACCCGGAGAAGAAGCUCCGGCUAACUUCGUGCCAGCAGCCGCGGUAAUACGAAGGGGGCUAGCGUUGCUCGGAAUUACUGGGCGUAAAGGGCGCGUAGGCGGACAGCUUAGUCAGAGGUGAAAGCCCAGGGCUCAACCUUGGAAUUGCCUUUGAUACUGGCUGUCUUGAGUUUGGGAGAGGUGAGUGGAACUCCGAGUGUAGAGGUGAAAUUCGUAGAUAUUCGGAAGAACACCAGUGGCGAAGGCGACUCACUGGCUCAUUACUGACGCUGAGGCUCGAAAGCGUGGGGAGCAAACAGGAUUAGAAACCCGGGUAGUCC